CAUAUAAGAAUUUAUAUAAGGAAUUUCUAAACGAAGCUUCUGAAGAAGAAAAAAAGCCCGACGUUUCUGCGAAGCUAUCAAAAUAAGAAUUUAUAUUGAGAGAAGGAGAGAGGAGGAAAAAUAUAAGGUCUAAGACAGUUAAAUCGACCGGAUCAAGCACGUAAUCCAACACCAAAGAUGUAUGACAAUGAUGCAUAUGGCUCCUUCUUUAGUAGAUUUAUGUGUUCAGAAGGCAAUAGAUAAUGUUAGAUUUCUUGGAGAUGUUGGUGAAACAGAGUUUCAUCUUCUUCAGCGUAUUUUGCCUCACUGUUCUCUUGAGCAGUUGAUGCAUGUAGAGAAUUUAUCACAAGGAAGAGAUCUUAGUCCUGUAACUGAUAAACUCUGAAAGAGAUUUUACAAGAUUCAGUUUGGUGAAAAAAGCACAAAUCAGGUUGUCCAAGACAUGAAGCUAAGGAAUGUAACAUUCAAAUGGAAACAAUUGUAUGAGGUACUGCAAGAUUGUAAUAUCAGAAGAAUUUUUGGGAAAAGAAAUCACAAGAAGAAAAUAGAGGUGAAGCUCGGAACUGGACAUUUGUCGGUGUGUCGACGCCCUUCCUCAUAGCUGCAGCACCAAGAAAUCAACUAAGAAUAGGUAGUGUAGAUAUUGGGAAGAGGAGAUGGGGAGAGCAAUGACAAGACAAAAUUAGUGGCAAAAACAUAGUCAUGAUUUGAAGUCUAUGAGUUCUGUCGUUGCCACCUAACCCAUUAUUCAUUUAGUUACUACUAAGUUUGCGAUUAAAUAUUUAUACAUAUUUAGUGAAUUUCGUAAUACAAAUACAGGGUUUAAACAAAA